ensembl:lncRNA
GGCCCCUCCUCGCUCCCCGCCCUUGCCCCACCCUAGCUCCGCGCAGCCCUCCACUCCUGCUGGGGGCGCUGGGCGGGGACCUGGCCCCGACCUCCGGGUUGGAGAUGCCACAGGCUCUCCAUUGUGCUCCAGAAGAGAGCAGAGGAGGGGAUCGCACGACUGCGCACCCUCACCUACCCCAUUGGAUGGGGCGUUAGUGUGAGAAUGUGCGUGUGUGUGUGUGUGUGUGUGUUCCUCCAGCUGCCAGAAGAGUCCUCCCCUUAUUUCACUCCGCCCCCAUCACCCUUUCCACUCUUCCUGCUUUGCUGAAUCGGCUAACGUUUCCGAGAAGCCACUUGACGCGGAGCGAGAGAAAGAACCACGGGCAGAGGAGAUCGAUCAGGCUACCGAGACUUCCAGGCAAGCAAAGAAUGCAUUUCCUUUCAAAGGUGGAGUGAGGAGCCCAGGUCUCCCUGGGUCGAGAGGGAGACUUGACGCAGAGGUUGCCUUUCCCCCACCUGGGACCCGCUCAUCUGGAUAGGCCAUCAGUCAUAUAGGUUCUGACUUUCGGAGCUGGAUAGGAGCGAUUGUGAAAAGAAAUCUUUAUAAAUCAUUGUGUGCGGUUGCAUGUGUGUGCGCGCGCGUUUUCUACAACAGCCUGUUGGGAGGAAGAAUGAUGCAAACAAAAUCGAAUUAUCUUUCUCAAAGAGAAACGGGAAAUUUCCACCAAGGAGGAAAAUGGAAAGAUUUAUGACGUUGUGGCAAAGUGGAUCCCGGCCUUAAAAAAGAGAUAGAUCACCUUGCUAUAUAAAUAUGAAUGAUGGGCGUUUGCAGCUUUAGUGUAAUUUACUUCCAUACCUUCUAAUAUGGAGAUGAUAACCUAGUGGUAAACACACAGAAUUUCAAGCCCCAGGAUUAACUUUUCUGGGCGGCUUACUGAGCAUCUGAGAUUUGCCCUUUGGACCUUAGCUGUCAAGUUUCUGAGGCUCUCAGCUGAAGAGUACACUCGGUCACUUGGGGCUAAUUCUCAAUGCCACUUCGUGACCAAGUCACUUUCUCUUCCUUCAUUAUUUGCAGAUAGAGGAAAAAGAAUUAACUGUAGUAGGAGUGACAGCCUUUUUGACUAGAUGCGGUAAAGUCACUGUCUUUUCUUACCACCUUGAAGUCCCCCUUCAACUAAAUUGUCUGAUGCACUGAUAUGUAAAAUUAGCUCAACCAACCAUUUCUCUAUAGUUCCCUGACACCUAAUCUGGGUUUCAUUAGGGAAUAAUCCAUAUGAUAUUCAGAAUAAUUAGAACCCAGAGACUUUCAACCUCAUGUUAUUUUUUUCCUCAAGAAGAUGUAAAUUACAACAU